GGCGAGAACGCGCCGCCGCCCACGCUCACCUGAGUGUGGGCGACGGAAAUAGGAGGCCUCACAGAGAAGAUCCACCAAAAUGGAGUCCUGAAGGAAGUAAAUGAAGAUACCUGAGGAAGAGUUCCCCCAAGCAGAGGCAAUAGCCAGAGCAAAGGCUCAAGAAUGAGCAGGGGUUUCAGAGAUCUCCGGCAAGGGUUUGUAUUCCGGGCUGCUCAUGGC